UCUCUUGUUGUGAGUCAACUUCUCUCACACUUUGAUAAGUAAAUUCCACUACAAUAUGAUAAGGGAUUAAUUUUUGUAAUCUAUGGAUGCAAAUAACGGUUCAGAAUAAUAUCAAUGAGUCCCUGUAACAUUUUUGUAGGUUUUACUACACACACACACACACACACACACACACACACACACACACACACACACACACACACACGCACGCACACACACACACACACACACACACACACACACGCACACACACACACACACUCUUGUGUGCCUGUAUGUGGUUUAGCCCGCCUUUUGACCUGAAUACGUACUUACAUUACACGGACCUAGGUGUAUUACACGGACAUUGCCAAUGUCCUUCUAAGUCAAGCAGUGUAUUUGCAAUUUUCAGUAUCUAAACAACACUUUUCCUCAUAAAUCUAAAGUAUUAUAGGAACUAUGCCAGUGUUUGCAUGAUUUGGACCAUGUAUUUGUAGUUUUCAGUGAAUAAACAGCUUGUUUUCUCACUUUCUUUAAUUGUCCUUUUAUACCAUGUAACCUGAUUUCUGUGUAUUCCAGUGUAUAAAACAGCGCUGCCUGCUUUCAGUGUAUGAACUGCAUUUUUACACACAUUUUUCAUACACUACGCGCGGUUUUACCCGGUCGUCAUCUGAUUGGCUGGAAAAAACCUGUGGGAGGGCCUUAUUACCAAGGCCAGCUCAGAGGCCUAGUUUUUAAAAAUUAAAUCACCAUUUGAAGCUGCAGAUCUCAAAAUCCAUGUCUUGGUGGACUAACUGUGCAAAGGUAAGCUUUAAUGGUCAAUUAAAAUAAUUUUUGACUAGAGGAAGGUAUUUACAAGUAAAAGUAGCCUGGAAGAAAAGAUUUUGAGCAAAAUGUGAGGUAUUUUAGAUUUUAAUUUAGUUGACAUUAAACCUAAGCACUUUUUUUUUUCCAUAUUUGUAUGCAGUAGCUUAAAUAUGUAUGUUUUUGUGACUGAAAAGACCUAUUUGAGGCAAUACAGUUUUUAUUCCGGGUGUUGUGUUCUAAAGUAAGAAGCUAGCAUGGCUAGGAGAGGCAUGCUAACCUUCUGUGAUGGCUGGAGGAAAUAUUAGGUGUGUGACAAGUUGAGAAUAAUUUUGAGAAAAAUAAGGUAGGAGAUGGGUUUUAAGGUUUUCAUCGUUAUAUUGAAUAACAUCGACAAGCUGCUUGUUUUGUUUUAGCUACUUGCACCGUUGGAGGAAUGCUAAGUUUCGGAGUAGUGACGCCCUGCUUGUUAAGCUCGUUAAGCCUGAUUUGCCUUUAGUUCGUGUUGAGGAGCAAGCAGCAGGAGAUCAACAUUAAGUAAACGCUCAGGUUUGUGUGAAAAUUUUUAACUUUUGUAAAAGCACCUGUGGAUAAAGGUGUUAAUGCAAUGAAUUAGCUACAAUAGGGCUGAUGCACCGAUGACUUUAAAGAUGUGUACUGUAAAUGGUUACAUGCAUUUAUCAGGAUGUUAAUGCUGUUAGUUUAUGUACAGUUACUACUGCAGAUUUUUUUUUUCGUUGUAGUGAGAAGCAGAACUGUGUGUUUAGUUUGUGUUGAGGUGCUGGCAGUGAUGAAGAAGUCCAAUGUGGAGGUGCAUUACAGGCAUAAACAUGUUGAAGCUGGAGGAACAGUACAGAUGCAUAGCUUUGACAUUUGUCAGUGUUCGGCACAAAUAAGACCACAGGGACAGAGACUAGAUUAUGAGGGCAUUAAUAAAAAGUAAGACGAAGCUUCAUGUAGAGGUGAGUUUGUGAAGCUCCAAACAUCACUUGAGGUCUAUUGUUUUUAUCUUUUUUUUUUUUUUUAUCAGAUGGAAGUGAUAUGUUAGUGAUUUAGCUAUCAGGGUUGUGUAUCUAGCCUGUGUGCAUGAUAUGCUUCCACAUCUAUACUUUAAUUCAUAGCUGUUUAAAAUAAUUCAAUAAUUCCUACAAGCUUCUUUGACUGUUAAAACAUUUUCUACAUGCCAGUAAAACAUGCAGAGGAGAAGACGCAUAAAUCCAAAGGAAGAUGCCAAAUAUUAUAUUGAUACCGGAAAGGACAAAGUGGGUCUUGACGUGAAAUAUAUCAAUGCCUUUAAAGGCCGUGGUAUCUUUACCACGACCUUUUUCCAGAAAGGAGACUUUCUGUUGGAGUAUCAAGGUGAACUGAUCAGCAAAGAGGAAUGUGAGAGGAGACAGAGAGUUUACCAUGACAACCUUAAAGUGUUCUUGUUUGAAUUUUACUUUAAUGGAAAACUCUGGUGUGUUGAUGCAGCAAAAGAAGAUGGCUCCCUUGGAAGGCUUGUAAAUGAUGACGAUAUCAGCCCAAAUGCCAAAAUGAAGUACCUGACUGUGCAAGCGAAGCCACAUUUGUGUUUGUUUGCAACUCGAGAAAUUAAUCAGGGAGAAGAGAUUACCUAUAAUUAUGGGGACUCAGACUGGCCAUGGCGAUGCAAGAAGGAAGUUGAAAAUGACCUGGACCAGAUGGCAGCAAACAUCCCAAAUGAGACAGAUCCAGUCCUUGAUGUACUCCCCAUCAAUGCCACGUGCCAAAAACAUCACCUGGUGUGCACAACUGUAUCCUCUUUGGAGAGGUGUACUCAGUGUUUUGGACCCUGUUCUUCUAUCAAGUGGCUUGGUUACCAAUGCGAAGGUUGUUCAAAAGUCUGGCAUUCGUACUGCCUUAAACGAAUUACAAAUGAUGACCCAACCCAGAUGAAAUUGCACUAAGUGAUGCUGAAACAAAGGAAAGGAGUGAGUCGGAUGAGAGUGAUGCAGAGGCACUGGUAAAAGAAUGUGGAAACACCAUGCCUUUGGAAACUCAGGAACCAGACCUUGAAAUAACUGAGCAGAUCAACAACACAGAUGACUUAUUGGGAACUGUGUCAUCAUCCACAGCAGAGGAAAGUGUCCUUCCUAUUGAAAAGAACUCCUCUGGCACAUCCAGAAGGCAACCAAAAAAACCAUGGUCACGUGCUGAAGUUUCUGCUGUUAUGAGGCAUUUUAAAGCUCACAUAAGUAAAGGAAAGCUUGCCACUAAAAAUGAGUGCAAUCAUUGUAAGUUGGUUGAAGGUCCUGUGCUGGUUCAAAGAACAGCACAAAAUAUCAGAGACUUUGUGAGAAACCGGGGAAUAACUGCUAAGAGGCAGGCACAGAAGCAAAAGCUAUAGAUCUGACAUGUGAAGUAAUCACUUAUUCAAAGGUGUUACUCUUUUGUUCAACAAUUUUAGUGGUGUCUACCAGACAAGUAAUAUUUUGAUUUAUCUUUAAGAGCCUGCACCCUAAAGGCAGAUUUUUACUUGCCAGUUUGUUGUGUUGAGGUAGACACAAAAGCAAAAGCUAUUUAUCUGAUUAUGUUGAGUAACGCAAGUUCUUUGAAGCUGUUAUUCUUCAACGUAUUUUUCUAACGUUGAAACAUUUCAUGCUGUUGCCCAGGAUAGCAAAUAUUUGAAGAGGUUAAAGAAUUUUGAUUUGACAUUGUAGUGAGCAUUUAAUUUCAUCCAGAAUAAGCAGUAACACCAUGCGCCCUAAAGGGCUAUAUUUAAUUUUUUGUAUUUUGUCUUGAGGCACUUAAAUUUUACUUUUUCUUUUGCCAAUUUAAAUUUUGUGUUUACUUUUACUUUUUGAAAAAAAAUAUGGUUCUGUGAAGAAAAGUAAUUGAAGAAUUUGGUCAUAUUUAACAAAUAAAAUGACUGUUCUGUUAAA